ensembl:lncRNA
GUCCAGGUAGUCCAUCUAGCACAUCUAGUCCAGGUAGUCCAUCUAGCACAUCUAGUCCAGGUAGUACAUCUAGUCCAGGUAGUCCAUCUAGCACAUCUAGUCCAUCUAGUCCAGGUAGUCCAUCUAGUCCAUCUAGUUCAUCUAGUCCAGGUAGUCCAUCUAGUCCAGGUAGUCCAUCUCAUCUAGGUAGUCCAUCUAGUCCAUCUAGUCCAGGUAGUCCAUCGCGUCUAGGUAGUCCAUCUAGUCCAUCUAGUCCAUGUAGUCCAGGUAGUCCAUCUUGUCCAGGUAGUCCAUCUAGUCCAUCUAGUUCAUUUAGU